UGCAACCUACCUUAUAGACGGGGAUAGCCUUUGGAAACGGAGAUUAAUACCCGAUAGCAAUAUUGACUGGCAUCAGUUUAUAUUUAAAGAUUUAUCGCUAUAAGCUGGGCAUGCGUCCAAUUAGUUAGUUGGUUAGGUAAUGGCUGACCAAGACGAUGAUUGGUAGGGGAACUGAGAGGUUAAUCCCCCACACUGGCACUGAGAUACGGGCCAGACUCCUACGGGAGGCAGCAGUAGGGAAUAUUGGGCAAUGGAGGCAACUCUGACCCAGCCAUGCCGCGUGCAGGAUGAAGGCGUUAUGCGUUGUAAACUGCUUUUAUAUAGGAAGAAAUAGACCUUGCGAGGUAAGUUGACGGUACUAUAUGAAUAAGCACCGGCUAACUCCGUGCCAGCAGCCGCGGUAAUACGGAGGGUGCAAGCGUUGUCCGGAUUUAUUGGGUUUAAAGGGUGCGUAGGCGGUUUAUUAAGUCAGUGGUGAAAGACGGUCGCUCAACGAUUGCAGUGCCAUUGAUACUGGUAGACUUGAGUGAGAUUGAGGUAGCUGGAAUGGAUAGUGUAGCGGUGAAAUGCAUAGAUAUUAUCCAGAACACCAAUUGCGUAGGCAAGUUACUAAGUCUCAACUGACGCUGAGGCGCGAAAGUGUGGGUAUCAAACAGGAUUAGAUACCCU
rnacentral:rRNA from 1 species